UGGAGCAUCGGGUAAUGCAAGAGGGUUCGAUCCUGGCCAGAUUGAACGCUGGCGGGAUGCUUUUACACAUGCAAGUCGAACGGCAGCACGGACUUCGGUCUGGUGGCGAGUGGCGAACGGGUGAGUAAUGUAUCGGAACGUGCCUAGUAGCGGGGAUAACUACGCGAAAGCGUAGCUAAUACCGCAUACGCCCUUCGGGGGAAAGCGGGGACCUUCGGGCCUCGCACUAUUGAAACGGCCGAUAUCGGAUUGGCUAGUUGGUGGGGUAACGGCUCGCAAGGCGACGAUCCGUAGCUGGUUUGAGAAGGACGACCGGCCUGCUGGACUGAGACACGGCCCAGACUCUACGGAGAGGCAGCAGUGGGGAAUUUUGGACAAUGGGAAACCCUGAUCCAGCCAUCCCGCGUGUGCGAUGAAGGCCUUCGGGUUGUAAAGCACUUUUGGCAGGAAAGAAACGGCACGGGAUAAUACCCGAUGCAACUGACGAGAAACCUGCAGAAUAAGCACCGGCUAACUACGUGCCAGCAGCCGCGGUAAUACGUAGGGUGCAAGCGUUAAUCGGAAUUACUGGGCGUAAAGCGUGCGCGAGCGGUUCGGAAAGAAGAAAGAUGUGAAAUCCCAGAGCUUAACUUUGGGUGCAUUUUUUAACUACCGAGCUAGAGAGUGUGUCAGAGGGAGGUGAGAUUCCGCGUGUAGCAGUGAAAUGCGUAGAUAUGCGGAGGAACACCGAUGGCGAAGGCAGCCUCCUGGGGGAUAACACACUGACGCUCAUGCACGAAAGCGUGGGGAGCAAACAGGAUUAGAUACACUGGUAGUCCCGCCUAAGAAGUAUCAACUAGCUGUUGGGGCCUUCGGGCCUUGGUAAGCGCAGCUAACGCGUGAAGUUGACCGCCUGGGGAGUACGGUCGCAAGAUUAAAACUCGAGGAAUUGACGGGGGACCCGCACAAGCGGUGGAUGAUGUGGAUUAAUUCGAUGCAACGCGAAAAACCUUACCUACCCUUGACAUGUCUGGAAUCCCGAAGAGAUUUGGGAGUGCUCGCAAGAGAACCGGAACACAGGUGCUGCAUGGCUGUCGUCAGCUCGUGUCGUGAGAUGUUGGGUUAGAGUCCCGCAACGAGCGCAACCCUUGUCAUUAGUUGCUACGAAGGGCACUCUAAUGAGACUGCCGGUGACAAACCGGAGGAAGGUGGGGAUGACGUCAAGUCCUCAUGGCCCUUAUGGGUAGGGCUUCACACGUCAUACAAUGGUCGGGACAGAGGUCAUAACCCGCGAGGAGCCAAUCCCAGAAACCCGAUCGUAGUCCGGAUCGCAGUCUGCAACUCGACUGCGUGAAGUCGGAAUCGCUAGUAAUCGCGGAUCAGCAUGUCGCGGUGAAUACGUUCCCGGGUCUUGUACACACCGCCCGUCACACCAUGGGAGUGGGUUUUACCAAGAAGUAGUUAGCCUAACCGUAAGGAGGGCGAUUACCACCGGUAGGAUUCAUGACUGGGAUGAAGUCGUAACAAGUAA
rnacentral:rRNA from 1 species